rnacentral:rRNA from 1 species
AGCGAACGCUGGCGGCAGGCUUAACACAUGCAAGUCGAACGAACCCUUCGGGGUUAGUGGCGGACGGGUGAGUAACACGUGGGAACGUGCCCUUAGGUUCGGAACAACACAGGGAAACUUGUGCUAAUACCGGAUGUGCCCUUCGGGGAAAGGAUUUAUCGCCUUUGGAGCGGCCCGCGUCUGAUUAGCUUGUUGGUGAGGUAAAGGCUCACCAAGGCUACGAUCAGUAGCUGGUCUGAGAGGANGGCCAGCCACACUGGGACUGAGACACGGCCCAGACUCCUACGGGAGGCAGCAGUGGGGAAGUCUUGCGCAA